rnacentral:rRNA from 2 species
GUCGAACGAUGAACCACUUCGGUGGGGAUUAGUGGCGAACGGGUGAGUAACACGUGGGCAAUCUGCCCUGCACUCUGGGACAAGCCCUGGAAACGGGGUCUAAUACCGGAUACUGACCAUCUUGGGCAUCUUCGCUGUUCGAAAGCUCCGGCGGUGCAGGAUGAGCCCGCGGCCUAUCAGCUAGUUGGUGAGGUAAUGGCUCACCAAGGCGACGACGGGUAGCCGGCCUGAGAGGGCGACCGGCCACACUGGGACUGAGACACGGCCCAGACUCCUACGGGAGGCAGCAGUGGGGAAUAUUGCACAAUGGGCGAAAGCCUGAUGCAGCGACGCCGCGUGAGGGAUGACGGCCUUCGGGUUGUAAACCUCUUUCAGCAGGGAAGAAGCGAAAGUGACGGUACCUGCAGAAGAAGCGCCGGCUAACUACGUGCCAGCAGCCGCGGUAAUACGUAGGGCGCAAGCGUUGUCCGGAAUUAUUGGGCGUAAAGAGCUCGUAGGCGGCUUGUCACGUCGGUUGUGAAAGCCCGGGGCUUAACCCCGGGUCUGCAGUCGAUACGGGCAGGCUAGAGUUCGGUAGGGGAGAUCGGAAUUCCUGGUGUAGCGGUGAAAUGCGCAGAUAUCAGGAGGAACACCGGUGGCGAAGGCGGAUCUCUGGGCCGAUACUGACGCUGAGGAGCGAAAGCGUGGGGAGCGAACAGGAUUAGAUACCCUGGUAGUCCACGCCGUAAACGGUGGGCACUAGGUGUGGGCAACAUUCCACGUUGUCCGUGCCGCAGCUAACGCAUUAAGUGCCCCGCCUGGGGAGUACGGCCGCAAGGCUAAAACUCAAAGGGAAUUGACGGGGGCCCGCACAAGCGGCGGAGCAUGUGGCUUAAUUCGACGC